AGUAUCGAGGAUAACUGCUUUCUGUAUU
rnacentral:sRNA from 1 species